AUUGAACGCUGGCGGCAGGCCUAACACAUGCAAGUCGAGCGAGAGGAGGACGGGUGAGUAAUUGAUGGGCACUGCCCGAUCUAGGGGGAUAAGUGCUGUAAACGGUGGCUAAUGCCGCAUACGAUCGGAUAACCCAUAUGGGAUUAGCUAGUAGGUGGGGUAAAGGCUCACCUAGGCGACGAUCACCAGCUGGUCUGAGAGGAUGAUCGGCCACACGGGGACUGAGACACGGCCCAGACUCCUACGGAGGCAGCAGGGGGGAAUAUUGCACAAUGGGCGAAAGUCUGAUGGAGCCAUGCCGCGUGUAUGAAGAAGGCUUUAGGGUUGUAAAGUACUUUUAGCGGGGAGGCGUUACCCACACAAGAAGCACCGGCUAACUCCGUGCCAGCAGCCGCGGUAAUUC
rnacentral:rRNA from 1 species